CUAGAUACUAUCUAAACAAAUGAGCAUAGCCUAAAUUCCAAAUUUGGCCUAUUACCCCUGCAAUAUAUUAGGUAAUAGAGGCAGUAAUUACAGAUUAUUAGAUAGUAUUGCAAAAAUGAAAACACUGUUUACCAAUAGGUUGGUGAGGGUGUGUGUGUGUGUGUGUCUGUUUCAUUUCUGAGAGUGUGGGAGUGAAGAAUAAGCUGUCAAUCCCACUUCCAAUGAUGAUUAAAAACAGGAGGAAUUUAGAUAAUGUAUUAUAAAUUACUUAUUUGGAGAUAUGUCUGCUAGAAUACAGUUUUAAGAAAAAUUAUGACAUUUAAUGAUUCUCCAACUGAUUACAAGUAUGCUUCAAAAUCUAAUAUUGUGCUUAAAAUUUUUAAGAACUGAGAAGUCAAAUUUCUGUCUAUUAUAGUGUCUUUCAUGGAGUAAGGGCUGGAUAUAGGAAAAAAAAUC
rnacentral:lncRNA from 1 species